GACGAACGCUGGCGGCGUGCUUAACACAUGCAAGUCGAACGGAAAGGCUCCAGCUUGCUGGAGUACUCGAGUGGCGAACGGGUGAGUAACACGUGGGUAAUCUGCCCUGCACUCUGGGAUAAGCCUGGGAAACUGGGUCUAAUACUGGAUAUGACCUUUCUCCUUAUGGGGUUUGGUGGAAAGUUUUUCGGUGUAGGAUGAGCCCGCGGCCUAUCAGCUUGUUGGUGGGGUGAUGGCCUACCAAGGCGACGACGGGUAGCCGGCCUGAGGGGGUGAUCGGCCACAUUGGGACUGAGAUACGGCCCAGACUCCUACGGGAGGCAGCAGUGGGGAAUAUUGCACAAUGGGCGGAAGCCUGAUGCAGCGACGCCGCGUGAGGGAUGACGGCCUUCGGGUUGUAAACCUCUUUCAGCAGGAACGAAGCGUAAGUGACGGUACCUGCAGAAGAAGCACCGGCUAACUAUGUG
rnacentral:rRNA from 1 species